GUUUUUAGCAGAAAAUCAAAGUUUCGUCAUGCUGUCUUGUCCAACCAUCAAACGCCAUCAUGUGAACUUUUGGCUCAGGAGCUGUUACCAGACAAGCAGAGCGUGCAUUCCAGUUUGGCAAUGACUGCUCUCAGACCGUCUAAACACCUCGUGGAGAAAGAAAUCAGAGCUCCUUUAAAGGAAUACACUGAGUUAUCGGGAGAUCUGUCUGCUGAAAUAGACCAACAAUAACCCAUGUUGUACUUCUGGAUCAUUUAAUGGUCAUCGACACCUGCGUGAUUUUCCUGGCUAUAACGUCACCGCUGUCCCGAGUUAAGCUGACCAGCACGGCAUGAAACAAAGUGAAAGUCCAGAGAAGGGAACACACACACAGUCUACACAUGAGACAGACCGCCUGAGAUAAACGCUGAUAGACGGCAGCGCGGGAGGGAAAAAAAACAGAGACGACAGAGGCGGGCUGAGAAAAAAGGGGCCGUCGAAGAACAACAAUGAGAGUAAAACUAGAGACAGCAUGAGAGCGGAGAAAGAAUGAGUGGCAGAGUUGAUGUGGGUGUCUGUGUCUGUGUCUGACUGUCUGUGUUUGUUUAACCUGAAUUUAAACUCCUCUCUCCCUCGUGUCCCCCUACGGUGGGAAUGUCUGAACACAAGGGAAGAAGUUUAUCCAGAGAGUGAUGAGCACACAGACAUGCAUCUCAACACGGACAAGAAAAGGCAGUUUAGAGACCGAUCAAACACACAAACCCCAAUGAAUCAACAUACACAAAUACGUACAUUAUAUAUUACAUACAUUAUUGUGUCAUGUGUAAAGUAUGCCUUAUCUUAACGGUUAAAACACAAAUGUUACCCCCAUAGCUUUCAUUUUUGCUGUGAUUGCACCUCCCUCGCUGUAUUCGAUAUCCUCAUUUUUUUUUUUUGUUAUUACACAGUAUUUCUUCAUGCCUGAUAGUCGCGCUCACCUCUACAAAUAUUUAUCGGUGAUGACCCUGCGGGAAGGACAAAAGGCGAGGACAGAGGAAGUGAGAAGAGGGGCAGCCUUUCAGCUUGUAUCGUUACCAGAAAACAAAGACAAACCAAACCGCUUGGCCACAGUUCACA